rnacentral:rRNA from 1 species
GCGCAGCAGUCGCGCAACCUCUGCAAUACGCGAAAGCGUGACAGGGCUACCCCGAGUGCCGUCCGCUGAGGAUGGCUUUUCUCCGGUGUAGUAAGCCGGAGGAAUAAGGAGAGGGCAAGUCUGGUGUCAGCCGCCGCGGUAAUACCAGCUCUCCGAGUGGUAGGGACGAUUAUUGGGCCUAAAGCGUCCGUAGCCGGCCAAGCAAGUUUCCCGUUAAAUCCAGCGAUCCAAUCGUUGGACUGCGGGAAAUACUGUUUGGCUAGGGGGCGAGAGAGGCCAACGGUAUUCCCGGGGUAGGGGUGAAAUCCCAUAAUCCCGGGAGGACCACCAGUGGCGAAGGCUGUUGGCUAGAACGCGCUCGACGGUGAGGGACGAAAGCUGGGGGAGCGAACCGGAUUAGAUUUGGAAAGGAGAAAUAUCCUUCCACUGAAGACCCGGGUAGUCC